rnacentral:lncRNA from 1 species
UUUUUUUUGGCGUUCUGUCUCUCUCCCCUCCUCAAUUGAGUCAAUUCCAUCCGAUUCUCAUCGACCUCAGUACUUCACUACUCAGCCGCUCAGGUUGUGGCUGUCUAACAAUUUUCUGGGAUUCUGAGAAUUGAGAAAAUUAGAGAAGGAGCUGUGAGCAAACUCAGAGUCUUAUCUCAGUCAUCUGAGUCUUUGAUCUUCAAGGAACCAGGUACCACAUCUUUUGAAGAAAACAUAACCACCCCAGUAUUCUGGUGUUUGUGACUUCGAGGAAACAUCCAAGCUUCAUUCCAGUCUGUCAGGUGGCCUUCAGGUGGUCUUAGGAUUGAUUGCAUGAGUUCAAUCCUUAAUGGGUACUGAGGAAGCCUACGAAGUUUCGUGAUCGCAGGUGAGCCAAGAAGAACACGCUGUUGAUUUGUGAUUAAAGGUGAGCUACACCGAGCAUUCUGCAAACUUGUGGCUGGAGGUGAAGUAAUUUAUUCCUUUGGCGCUGCAUAAAGAUUCCUCCAGAGCAGUUUCUUCACUUUGUGAACCCAAGAACUUUGCAGACUUGUAGUUGGUGUGAACUGGCAGCCCCAGGCGUUCACUUGACACUCGUUUUUGCCACCCAUAUGCAGGACGCACUGCGAUACAGGCAUAAAAAACAAGUGCAGUGCACCCUCUAGUUUGGACCUUACUUCCGCCACCCAUACGCAAGACGCACCGCAGUAUAGGCAUUGAAAGAAGGCUGAAAACACAGAGCCACAUAGCAAUAAGCAGAGGAAGGACUUUCUGCACUCAUGAACACAUCAACAAUGAUAAAGGAAAAGUACCAGUAAAGACCAUGGAGAAGUGACUAGCAGGAUACAUGAACUUGAUGCUCUCCUAUCGUUGGGUUGUAGUCUCCAGCUUUGUCUUCUUUAUAUAGGAGGCAGCAAAGGCUCUAGAGGCUGGAUAAAUGCUCGUUUGAAAUUUAAAUUUUCGGAGGCUCACGUGGAUAAGCUGUUGAACAGAGAUUUGCUCCUUGACUCCGAUAUUGAACUUAGACACCCCUUGCCACUUUGUUCUUAUCUCACUUUGAGAUGUUUGAAUCACAAUUUGAAUGCUUUCUUUUGUUUCUAUAGCUUUUCCCCGUUGAAGUUUGGUCAACCAUUCAUCUUGUUUGAAAUUGAGAAAGAGAUAUUUUGUAACAAAACAUUUGUUUAAUUGCUGUCAUUAUCCUCAUCUUUUUUUUUUUUUUUGAAUAAUAUUG